GGUUAGGCUUUGGUUAAAUAGUUUCUCCUGAGGGCAGGCCUCAUUUAGAACACAAUAUUCUGGAAUGUAUCAAAAUGGUUCUCUCUCCCUGCCCGGCCUGAAUCACAAGGGAAUUUUUAUUCAGUAAUUACUGUGAGCAUCCCCUACAACUCUGCACUGAGACAAUAAAAGUGUGGGGGCUUCCUGGGGAUCGGUUGCCUUGCAGUUUUUACCUCACAUGCUCCUCCAUGCUGAGCUUUCAGCAACUCACCGGUUGCAGUUUCAGUUUCCUCCCCCGACACUGGCUUCUGUGAAGGUUUCUCCUGUGGUUUGGGAGUACUGA
rnacentral:lncRNA from 1 species